UACAUCCUGAGGUUCUGUGAGUAUGC
rnacentral:piRNA from 1 species